rnacentral:rRNA from 1 species
GAUGGACGCUGGCGGCGUGCCUAAUACAUGCAAGUCGAGCGGAAAGGCCUCUUCGGAGGUACUCGAGCGGCGGACGGCUGAGUAACGCGUAGGAACGUACCCCAAACUGAGGGAUAACUGCUCGAAAGAGUAGCUAAUACCGCAUGUGCUCUACGGAGUAAAGCUUCGGCGGUUUGGGAACGGCCUGCGUUAGAUUAGCUUGUUGGUAAGGUAAUGGCUUACCAAGGCGACGAUCUUUAGCUGGUCUGAGAGGAUGAUCAGCCAGACUGGGACUGAGACACGGCCCAGACUCCUACGGGAGGCAGCAGUAGGGAAUUUUCCACAAUGGGCGAAAGCCUGAUGGAGCAACGCCGCGUGCAGGAUGAAUGCCUUCGGGUUGUAAACUGCUUUUAUAAGUGAAGAAUAUGACGGUAACUUAUGAAUAAGGAUCGGCUAACUCCGUGCCAGCCGCCGCAGUAA